AGAGUUUGAUCCUGGCUCAGAAUGAACGCUGGCGGCGUGCUUAACACAUGCAAGUCGAACGGUAACAGAGGAGCUUGCUCCUGCUGACGAGUGGCGCACGGGUGAGUAAUGCAUAGGUAACGUGCCCCUUAGUCUGGGAUAGCCACUGGAAACGGUGAUUAAUACUAGAUACUCCUUCUUCCUUAAUGGAAGUUGGGAAAGUUUUUCGCUAAGGGAUCGGCCUAUGUUGUAUCAGGUAGUUGGUGAGGUAAUGGCUCACCAAGCCUAUGACACAUAGCGGGUCUGAGAGGAUGAUCCGCCACACUGGUACUGAGACACGGACCAGACUCCUACGGGAGGCAGCAGUGGGGAAUAUUGCACAAUGGACGAAAGUCUGAUGCAGCAACGCCGCGUGGAGGAUGACACAUUUCGGUGCGUAAACUCCUUUUAUAUGAGAAGAUAAUGACGGUAUCAUAUGAAUAAGCACCGCUAACU
rnacentral:rRNA from 1 species